GGUUAACGGAGCGUGGGUCACCCAAGGAGACUGAGCAGGCUGCUGUGGAAAUUGACAAGACAGCAUGCACGGACACACACUCUCGCAUGCACACACAGCUGUGGAUGUUAUUGGCUGACGGAUGGGGUGGCCAUUCCAUUUGUGCUUCUAACUGUGUGUGUGUGUAGGAUUUUAGUGACACUGACUUGGUAUUUCUGGAAUGAUGAAAGAGAAGAUGCUCUCCCUGUCCCUGUCCCUCUCUCUUUCACACAAACCCUACCUGGCAGCAUUGAAGCCCUUCUAGAGAAGCGUAGCAGAGGUAACAGGCUGUCACUGCAGCCUCAAAGGAAACAAGAACCCACACUGUCAGGGAUGGGGAGAGGGGGAAUGAGAGAGAGCCAGGCAGAGAGGAGGAAGAGGGAUCCCCCUGGGAAUACACUCAUUGUUUACACGUAAUUUCAAUGAAAUGACUUUGAACCAACAUGGAAUAGAUGUUGGGAAAUGUGUUGGAGAGAGGCAGGAAGAGAAAUGGAGUGAAGGAUGGGACUAACAGGAUUUUGGUUUUCAGUUCUGAUAUUUUGCUGCUGUUGGUGUUUACUAUUUACAGAGAUGUUUACCAUAUUGUUUACGGUGUUGUUCUGAGCUCCCUGUAUCUUCUCACAUCAUCAUUUAAAUCUAGUCAAAAUGCCUUAGCCCAACCAUGUCUGCAGAUAAAGAGGUUUUCUGGUGGGUCUGUGUGUGUGCGUGGGUGUUUGUUUGUGCUUGCUUAUGCAUAUGCGUGUGCCAGCCUACGCAUGAAAACGAAGAGGUAGUCAUCUCGAUUCGUGCUGAUAUAUGCUACGAAGGCCCUCCUCCCUCAUUAACUUAAAGUCGAGGGUCUGAAAGCAGUGCUCACUUUCAGCAGAGUUCCUUUUUUGGAAGUGCGUGUGUGAAGUCAGGUUCUAGGAGAGUUUCAUUGUUGGAAGUGCGUGUGCGAAGUCAGGUUCUAGGAGAGUUUCAUUGUUGGAAGUGCGUGUGCUAUGUCAGGUUCUAGGAGAGUUUCAUUGUUGGAAGUGCGUGUGCUAUGUCAGGUUCUAGGAGAGUUUCAUUGUUGGAAGUGCGUGUGCUAUGUCAGGUUCGAGGAGAGUUUCAUUGUUGGAAGUGCGUGUGCUAUGUCAGGUUCUAGGAGAGUUUCAUUGUUGGAAGUGCGUGUGCGAAGUCAGGUUCUAGGAGAGUUUCAUUGUUGGAAGUGCGUGUGCGAAGUCAGGUUCGAGGAAAGUUUCAUUGUUGGAAGUGCGUGUGCGAAGUCAGGUUCGAGGAGAGUUUCAUUGUUGGAAGUGCGUGUGCGAAGUCAGGUUCGAGGAGAGUUUCAUUGUUGGAAGUGCGUGUGCGAAGUCAGGUUCUAGGAGAGUUUCAUUGUUGGAAGUGCGUGUGCGAAGUCAGGUUCGAGGAGAGUUUCAUUGUUGGAAGUGCGUGUGUGAAGUCAGGUUCGAGGAGAGUUUCAUUGUUGGAAGUGCGUGUGCGAAGUCAGG